GACGAACCGUCCAAACGUUAUUCGGAAUCACUGGGCUUACAGAGUUCGUAGGCGGUCUGGAAAGUUGGGUGUGAAAUCCCUCGGCCUAACCGAGGAACUGCGCUUGAAACUACCAGACUCGAGGGGGGAUAGAGGAAAGCGGAACUGAUGGUGGAGCGGUGAAAUGCGUUGAUAUCAUCAGGAACACCGGUGGCGAAGGCGGCUUCUUGGGUC
rnacentral:rRNA from 1 species